AACGAACGCUGGCGGCAGGCUUAACACAUGCAAGUCGAGCGCCCCGCAAGGGGAGCGGCAGACGGGUGAGUAACGCGUGGGAAUCUACCCAUCUCUACGGAAUAACGCAUGGAAACGUGUGCUAAUACCGUAUACGUCCUUCGGGAGAAAGAUUUAUCGGAGAUGGGAUGAGCCCGCGUUGGAUUAGCUAGUUGGUGGGGUAAAGGCCUACCAAGGCGACGAUCCAUAGCUGGUCUGAGAGGAUGAUCAGCCACACUGGGACUGAGACACGGCCCAGACUCGUACGGGAGGCAGCAGUGGGGAAUAUUGGACAAUGGGCGCAAGCCUGAUCCAGCCAUGCCGCGUGAGUGAUGAAGGCCCUAGGGUUGUAAAGCUCUUUCACCGGUGAAGAUAAUGACGGUAACCGGAGAAGAAGCCCCGGCUAACUUCGUGCCAGCAGCCGCCGUAAUAC
rnacentral:rRNA from 1 species